rnacentral:rRNA from 1 species
CGCGAUUCGCCCUUCGGGGUGCGCAGGCGCGAAAACUUUACAAUGCGGGAAACCGUGAUAAGGGGACACCGAGUGCCAGCAUCAUAUGCUGGCUGUCCAGGUGUGUAAACUACACCUGUUAGCAAGGGCCGGGCAAGACCGGUGCCAGCCGCCGCGGUAACACCGGCGGCCCGAGUGGUGAUCGUGAUUAUUGGGUCUAAAGGGUCCGUAGCCGGUUUGGUCAGUCCUCCGGGAAAUCUGACGGCUCAACCGUUAGGCUUUCGGGGGAUACUGCCAGGCUUGGAACCGGGAGAGGUAAGAGGUACUACAGGGGUAGGAGUGAAAUCUUGUAAUCCCUGUGGGACCACCUGUGGCGAAGGCGUCUUACCAGAACGGGUUCGACGGUGAGGGACGAAAGCUGGGGGCACGAACCGGAUUAGAUACCCGGGUAGUCCCAGCCGUAAACGAUGCUCGCUAGGUGUCAGGCAUGGCGCGACCGUGUCUGGUGCCGCAGGGAAGCCGUGAAGCGAGCCACCUGGGAAGUACGGCCGCAAGGCUGAAACUUAAAGGAAUUGGCGGGGGAGCAC